GGUGGGGCGCCUCCGCCCGCCAGCCGCUCCCGCAUUAAAAUUUCAUGGGCGCUGCAGCAGCUACAAAGACGACGCCGGCUGCGCUCGGGGGACCGGAGGGAGGGAGGCUGCGGACGAGUGCGGGGAGGAGUUUGAGGUGGGAGGUGCUUGCAGGGGCUCCCCCAGUUCUGCGCUGUGAGCCGGGGCACAAAGAGCCCUCUGCACUCGCGCCGCAGGACCGCGGACCCGAGCCCGCCCCAUUCCCCCAGAGCCUGCCAUUCCUUCACUUCUGGGACUCAAAUCCCAGAUGUCCGGCGUCCAAUUUGGCUCCCAAAGGAUGGAGAGGGCCGGUAAAUUACCGUCGCUGAAAACAACAGUGACAUCAGUUUAUGGAGAGGUUACUCUACGCCAGGGACCUGCUUGGUGCUUUGCAAACGUUAUCACAACAAUUCCACUAGGUGGUCCUUUCUCUGGCUGUGACCCAUGCUUCUUCCCCGGGCAGGAUGACACUCUCUGAAUUUCCUUAUUCAUCACGGCAGUGCUGUGUGGUGGAAGGAGACGCAGCUGAGAGUUAGGCAGUUGGAGGCAUCUGUCCACCCACAUGGUUCCAGAAACCUUCAUGUGGCCACCAUGACCCCAUUGGCAUCACGGGAGUAGCCAAGGUCCACAGAGCCAGGGGAAACAGUCACUGUGGACCAAGCCAGGCUCCUCUGAGCAGCCCAGGGUCUAUUUACAGAGAGCAGCAAGUUCCUGGGACAGAGGAGAGAGAAGGGAAUUUCCAGGCUCUUCAGGACAUUCACAACCAUGCUGAGAAGCAUCCUUGCAGAUAAGUACUUAAACUCACCAGCCCCUAGCCUACCAGCCUGCCCUCUUCUGGUCUGUGCAGGAAAGUGUGGUAUCCUAGAAUCCCACAGCGGGAGGGGAAACGGGUGAGGUAGUUCAUUCACUUUUCUACCUCUAUGGAAGAAAGAAAGCGCUUGUCCCAUUUUAAGGGGUCCCAGAAAGGGUGACUUUCACACUCCACUUUUGGCAUCAGGGCUAGUGUUUCAUAAACGUCACCGUCUGGAGCUUUUGGAUGGCUGAGUUAAAUGACUUCAUCUCGUGUGCCUGUAAAUCUGCUAUUAGAAGGAGCCUGGGGACUCCUGGGUGAUGUGAACUGGCUCUUCCCUUCUUAGUUUUGGCAUUUUGUUAUGCUAUUUAUAAGCCUUGGCUUGGGUUCCUUGGCCUUGCAGUUUGGUGGAGACUUUGCCCUGUGCCUUUAGAUGCAUUAUUCUCAGUGCCAGAGUCUGAGUUCGUCUCCUACUCUGGACCCGUGCCCCCACUCCUAGGUGCUGACAGCAAGCCCUGAAAAUACGCUGAGAAGGCUCCCUGACUCUCCUGACUCAGGUCUGCCACCGAUGAAGACAGCACAGCUGUUACUCAAGGCAAAACCUGGCAGGUGGCGCUGGGUCAGGAUUAGCGGUCAUUCUCUGGUCUUCUCCAGAUUGAUGACACAGGUUGGUCUUAAAGGAGUCCUACUCCAGCCUCUGGCUCCCCGAAUUUCCCCUGGCGCAUGGCACAUCAGGAAAGGGCAGGGGAGAAGGACGGGAGCAGAAAAAUAGCUGAGGCUGGGCAGAAGGGGCCCUUCCGUUUCCGUCCACUGCUUCAAACCAUGAGUUACUGUUGUGCACCUUGAAUGUCAAGGCAGGAAGGGUCCCAGGGCCACCCGGUGUGGCAGGAGCAGAGCUGGGAUCAGAAUUCUGGAUUCCCAACUCUCCAUUCAGCUGCAAUUCAGCUGCAAUUCACCAAGCUGCUCAGUUUUUCCUCCUUUCUCCCUGGUUGCAUUCUGCUGCUGCUGGGAAACAGGUCAUGAGUGAAGGGAAUCCCUCUCCCCUCUCCCCUCACUUUUUCCUUAAAAAUGUUGCGGGGUGGAGUAAAGGGAGGCGGAAGGCGGUGUGCCUGAGUCCAGCUUUCCUGGCUCCGGGGCCUUCUGUCUUCGGCAGGGAGCUCUGGCAAAGCCUGAGCCUGGGGAGAGGGCCUGGGUGCGGGUUUCUCCUGCCAUGUGGUUGGCUCUUUUGUCUUCCAGGAUGGGCCUGUGGGGUCUUUGUGGGGAAGGAAGGAGCUGGGAGCCUGGGCUGCCUGUGUGCUGGCUGCCUGUGUGCUGGCUGCAUGCUGCCAGCCCCGGCAUGGACCAAGCACCUUCUCUGAGCCAGACGCUGGGGAUGCAGAGGUGAACCCAGAGACAUGGUCCCGUCUGCUCGGAUCUUCAUGUCAGAACACGCUUCAUUACCGUCUCAGCGCGGGGGUGGCUCCGUCUGGGCUGAAUCUCAGGGACUCCGGGCCUGGCCUUCUCUUUGGACCUCUGGUGACUCUGGACUCUGGCCACCGUGACUUAGCGGGCAGACUGCGAUGGUUUUCUAGCCCCCUCACCUGUUGGGAUGCAGCCUCCCAUGGACAGGAGCUCUUCCUGGCUGGUGCUUGACGACUGGAUCUGGCUCCAGGGGUAUGAGGGAGGCCUGGCAGCCCACCACUCCCUCCUCACCUGCUCGGGCCCUGCCAGCUGGGCCCUAUUGUCUGGGGCUGGGGGCUGUUUCCUGACCCCACGUGAACUUGGUUCCUCCUUGAGUUUCUGCCGGUGACCAGACAGAGCCUGGCCUGGGCCAAGGCCCCACUGACCACACUCUCCCCAGGGCUGGGUCUCAAAUGACCCUGCAGGAUGGGGACAGGAACAGGGAUGGGAGUCGGGGAGGGGCUGUCAGUGGGAGGGCAGAUGUAGCUCCUCAGGCGCGGCUAGCUGCAGUCCUCUGUCUUUCUCCGUUUGGCCCGUGUGAAAUUGUCAUUUUUGUGGGGGGCCUCCUUGGUGGGGCUUUUCCAUGCUUUUCCUCUCCCUGAUGGUUACAUAGAGGGGACAGUCAGGACCUGGGAGGAGCUGGGGCUUUCCCCUUGCAUUGCUGAACUUUGGGAGGGGCAGCUAGAGGGGCUGAGUGUGUACCAUCCUGAGAACAGAGGGUCUUCACGGGAUAAGAAGGUCUAGGCCAGGGAAAUUCACUAGAAAGACAGAGGUGGCCCUGGGUGUUUUUCCUGCCAUCCAAAGGGAACCAGCCUUACCCAAAGGCUGCCGGGGCCACCUGAGCCCAGUCUCAGGACACUCUUUUCCAAUCAGGUCCCUGCUUCUAGCCGUACUGCUCCUGGAUUCUGUUCUUGGGGAGCAGAAGGACAGCCCCCACAAUCUGCCUCUCCAUGUGCAGUUUUCCUUACCUCUCCGCUUUCCUCCUCUGUUUACAACCCCCUCCAGAGGGGACAGUCACAGUGUUUAGCAGAGAGCAGCUUGUGGCCUCCCUUAGACAAGUUUAAAAGCCAGAUGUCCUUUUUCCCAGGAUGGGGAGGAGGGCGGUUGUGUACUCUUCAUCAGCUUGGACUGCCACAGCACCAUGCCACAGACUGGAUGGCUUAAACAGCAGGAAUUUACUUUCUCCCAGUUCUGGAGGCUGGAAAGUCCAAGGUCGAGGUGUUAGAGUUGGUUUCUGGUGAGGCCUCUCUCCUUGGCUUGCAGGUGGCCCCUUCUUGCUGUGUCCUCAUGUGACCUUUUCUCCACGGAGAGGGAAGGACAGCAGGAGCGGUCUCUGGUGUCUUCUCCUCUCCUUACAAGGACACCAAUCCCAUCAACUUAGGGCUCAACCCUAUGACCUCAUUUAACUUUAACCCCUUAAAGAUCCCAUCUCCAAAAACAGUCACAUAGCGGGCUACUGCUUCAACAUAUACAUUUGGGGGAGGGGACACCAUUCCGUCCUUAACAGGGUGAUCACCACAAACACAGAAAGUCAGGGCCAUCUCCCCUUCAGAAUUCCCACCCCCCCCCGCCCAGGGAGGGGAAAGGGGAGUAGAGGUAUGGGAAGCAGACACUGAGAGUGACAGGUACCACGCUGGGGUGGCUCAGGAGUGCUUCGGAGGACAUAUGGAAUUGGCUGGGCUCAGUGCAGAAAGGAGGGGUCCCUGGGAGAGCCGUGUCCCGAGAAGAGCCUGAGCUACAAUCUUGGGCAAGUGACUUCACCUCUGAGCCUCAACUGCUCUGUGAAAUGAAAGGCACAUGCUCACCCGUCAGGUGCAGGGAGGAUUCAGUGAGAUCAUGUGCCUAGCACAGCGCCGGACUCCCAGUAGGUGCUCAGCAGCAAAUGCUCCCAUCCAUCCUGGAGUAAGAUUUAGGGUUUAUCCUGUUUUUUUUUUUUUUUUUGGCUCUCUGGACUUAAAACCUCAGCAUCUUCUGAUACAGAAGCAUUUCUGAUUAGCCCUUCCCCUGGCUCUUUCCCCAAUAUCCCUCUCUAAUCAGCUUGGGGAGGUGGCAGCAUUUCGUGGCCUCCAUAGCAGCUCACGAUGCCUCCUGGGGUAUUUAAAUUCUACUCUCUCAUCAGCACUGAGCACCUACUUUGGGCUCUUUCCUGUGCUAGCUAGUCAUUUGGGGGAAAUAUGGGUGAAGAGUGGGCAGGGUUCGAACUUUUGAUUUCACAUCCAUGCUGGAUGGGUAAAACCAGCUCACAGUCUACUGAGGUACAAGUUCUGAGUGCAUGGUAAGUGCUUGCUAAGUGGGUGAGAGACACCAGAGGGGGCUGCUGCUGUCUGGAACAGCUUCCUAGCAAGCUGUACCAGCCAGGGCCUUGAAGGAUGAGAAAGAUCUGGCUGAGAUGAGACCCUCUAGGUGAAUUCCCAAAGGAAGUUCUAGGAAAUGUCAUUGCUCUUUCAAAACAAAACCAAAAACAACAAACAGCAGGUUCAAAUUCAAAUUCCGCUGCACUACUGAAGUCGUGCAGGACUUAUCAGGGCCUUUAAAAUGCUAAUUGCAAUUUCAAAUUCUCAGGGAACAUCGUGUAGAACUGUGGGAGAUGCUAGGCUGGGGUUUCUGUGGGAAAAGUACAGCAGUGGUAGAAGAUGGCAUAAUUAGGAUACAUUCAGGUGUUUUGUAGUAUUGGCUGAAAAGGAAGCAGACCGGGAGGGCAUGGGGAGUCUCAACUUAGUUCCAGGAGCCAGGCCAACUUGAUGCAGUUUUUUUUUUUUUUUUUUAACUGGGGGGAGGGCAGGCCAAUAAUUGGAACAACUAGAGGCCUGGCAGUUGCUGUUGGAAGAGAUGUCUACUGAGCACGAGGGUCAGAUCUUUGUGGCGACAUGCUGGUGUGUGUGUGUCUAUGCCAGAGUGUAACAGGAUCCAGCCCUCUGGGAAGGGGCUGACCAGAACCGGGCAGGGGUGUUCUAUCCAGGACAAGUAGGGUCCAUUAUCAGGGGGCUGAAAUGUUUCCAGGGGUUAAUCUGAGACCCACAGCCAGUAAAUAGGGAAGCAACAUUUUGGGCAGGGGCCAUGUGGUUAGGGUUGAUUUUGGUGGGGCUGAGGGGCUUAGAGGUAGACCCCCUGCUCUGGUCAGGCCCUGUUCCCUGGCUGGUGGGGACGGGAGGCCUCUGGAGCUGCAGCUGGAGGGGCUGGGGCAGUGUUGCAUGGUGUGAUUAACCUACUAACCCAGGGCUCGGCGGGGAUGCCGUGGCGUGUGACAAGGUGCCUGGCCUUCUGCCAACCAACUAACCUACUAACCAGGCCCGAGCAUGCCCUACUAACCCCCUGCAGCCAGAUCCUACUAACCGUGCAGCUCAUGGGCCUUUCAAGGGGCUGGGGUAUGGGGGCAGCCAAGGCUCCAGAAGGCUUUGCCUAUGGGCUGGGAUCUUUGUGCAGACCCACGUUCCAGGACAGAGAAUGCAAAUAAGACUCAUCAACUCUGCCACUUCCUGGUGGGUGACUUUGAGUAAGUCACCUCACUUCUCUCAACCUCAGUUUCCUCAGUGAUAGAAUGGGAGCACUGAUACCUCACAGGUUGCAGUGAGGAUUCCCAUGAAUAUGAGGGUCUUGGCACAUGGCAGAUACCUAAAAAAAAAAAAAAAAAAGGACGAAGGUGGAGGGAGUCCCCCUAAACCUGGUUGAGCACACCUGCUGCCUAGGCCCUGGCCUCUCUGGGUGUUCUGCACACAGAUCCUUCUGCCUGGGCCAGACACUUGCUUUGAACCCCUAACUGUCACUUCCCCACAUUCUUCCUCGGUCUCAGCUUUCUUUUCUGUAGGCAGCUCUUUUGUUCGAUUACUAACCCGUCUAACCCCUGGGGUGCCUCAACUGCACCCCAUCAUCCUUUAACAAACUAACGGACCUGCGUGCGUUCUUCCUUUUCUCCUAGCGACUCCUGUGUAUGUCUGCUGAGGUGCCCUGUCCGCUGGUGCUGUGCUCUGACUUACUAACCCAGCCCCUACUAACCCUGUUUUCUCUUCUUACUAACCCCAGCCCUGCCGAGCUCUGGGCUCCCCACUGGGGGCUGGUCCCCCUCCUUUUGGCAAGCAGAUGACCUGGGACUACUGGCCCUAUAGACAGAUGUCCCACUUUGCUGCCCUAUAUUGGCUGUAAGAUCAGAGUCCAUAGGGCCAGGUCUAAGGCAGGGGACGGCCCUUUUAACAAGACUCAGAGGAGGAGGUGGUGUGGGGGGCCGGACUCUGACAUGCCUUCUCUGUGCAGAAGUCUGGUUGCCACUGGGAGUAGGUGGGACCAGGGAAACCUCGGGGACGUGAGUGUGGAAGCCUGUGGGUCUAGACUCUAGACUGGAGCUCUGAGCUUUCGUAUCCUUCUCGGGAAGGAAUCCGGGGAAGGAUCUUUUCCACUGUAAAGUGGCAGGAAUACGAGCUACCCUGCACAGGAAGUCGAGAGGGAGGCGUGUCCCACGAGGAAGUCAGGAGGGAGGCGUGUCCCACGAGGAAGUCGAGAGGGAGGCGUGUCCCACGAGGAAGUCAGGAGGGGGCGUGCCCGUCACCGGAAAUUGGCAGGGGGCGUGUCCCACAUCGGAAGUCAGAAAGCGGAGCCUUACACCGGAAGUCAAUGAAGCGGGGUUUCCUCACGCUAGAAUUUUACCGCUGAGUGGAGUAUUUAGUACGCAGGAAGUCGCCCGGAGGAACUUUUCCCAUAUUUGAAGGCCGGGAAGAGGGACAUUUCUGACACCAUGAGCUACUUUGGCACCGAGAAGCUAAGCAACUCACUGAAGGUGGCACAGCCAGUAAACGGAAGAGUCGGGAUUUGAACCCAGGCAGCCCAUGUGGGAGGAAUUUUCCAGAGACCACUGUCUCAUGAGCCUGUCUUGGAACUGGAGCCAGCCGAGUUACCCUGACCAUGUUUGAAUUGGGAUAUUGAGGAGGUUAUGGUUAAAAGCGUAUGAUGGAAGACCAUGUGUAUAUCGUAUUGUGAGUGAGACUGGCUGGAGGAGUGUUUUAAUUCUUCAGAAAUACCAGCUGGCCUCUUUAAGACAUGGGAUCGUUUCCAGAUGAGAAUCCACGAGGCCUCAUUGACUUGGCGCAGUCCUUCUGGGAUUGUUAAGCAGAUGACUUCCAUCGGUACUGAGCCAGGAGUUGAGAUCUCACAUGAAUACUUCACAUUGAGGGACGCUGAACUGGAACUCUACUGACGAAGGAGCUGGGCAAGUAUUGUUCCCAGGCUUCUAGCCUCAUGAUGCAGGGGAGUAUGUGGCAGGAAGCCCCAGUGGCACUGAGAUGCCAACAGUCCAGCUCUCUGUGCAGAGUCCCCCACCUUCCUAGAGGUUUUCUAACUGUGCUUGGGGUCCCCAAGGAAUGUAAGGAACUGUAAGGGGGGCAACUAUGAGAUGCACAGAAUUUCACGUUCACUUCCUGCUUUCAACAUGAUCAGCUCAACCCGUUUUGAUCAUUGGAUUUUAUUUGAAAAAAAAAUUUCACACAGAGUUUGACUCUCAUUGGAUCGCAGCAUGCGGGUUGAAGAGCGUUAAAGAAAAAAUUAUUCUGACAUAUGUGAAAACAGGAGGACUUUAUCUAGGACUAUCUUGUUCGGUAUCAAGACAAUUGCGAUAGGGGAGAGAGAUCAGGUUCAACUUCCAAUGCAACAAGUGAAGAUUUGUGAUCAAGGGCGGCAGGUUAGGGAGUGGGUAAGUGGAUGGAAAAUCAGUAAGAGGGGUGAUCAAAGGUAGGAGGGAUUGCUGCUGAAGGCAGGCCAAGGUGAACAGAUAUUAACUGGGGGACAGUGGAAAGAUGAGGGAUUUGACUAGAUAUGAAGGACGACCAGUUAUGGGGGAGGCGGACGGUUCUCCCUAAACCAACUCAGCAGGAUUCUUACUACAGCUGGGCUCUGUAGGCCCUGCAAAGACAGGUGCCAAGGUCAAGCCUUAGCCAAGAGGAGGGUUCAGAGGAGCCUGACGACCUCUCGGUCAAGGAGAGAAUCUUUGUCAAGAGACAAAUGUAGCUUUAUAAAAGGACUACCAGGAUUCCUCUGCUGGUUUAUAUGAAGCAAAGGGAGGCACAGACCAUGUUGCCUUGUCUUCUCCAUCUUUUAGGAUCCCGAGCACAAAUCUUGCUUCUCCUCCAGCCUGCAGUCCUCAUGCAAAUAGAUGCCUUAGGGUAGGGCAGGCCCAACGUGUCAAAUUUCCACUCUUAGGCUCAGCUGGGAUCUACAGUUCUGUUUUUUUUUUUUUUUUUUUGUGAUUCUAUGGUUUUUAGUAUUCUUUGAUUCUUUAGCAUUAUAUCCUCAACUUCUGUAGCUCUUUGAUUUUGCAUUUCUUUGAUUCUGAGAUAUGAUGAUCCGGGGACGUGGACUCUCUGGCUCAAUUAUUUCAAGAAAUAAUCUUUAUUCUCUUUUUUUGGAUUAAUGUUGGAUUAAUGUGUCUAAGCUCCCCUUGUGAGACAAUGGUUCAUACCAGGGUGGGACAUCAGGGGCAAGGGAUGAUGGGGGUGCCAUUGACUAAGAAAGUCUCAUAGAUUGGCUGUGUCUAAGGUUAAAACCAGAGCAACCACACCUGGGAUCAGGUGUUAGGGGCCAUUGUGUGACCAGGAGAGCGAGAGGGUGCCGGGUGGUUAAAAGUGGGUGCACGGAGGAUGGAGUGGGAGGUGAGGGGCAAUGAACGAAAAUGAAGCAAACGUUGUGUAUCUGAUACGGCAGAAAAGGGAUGCUGAAAUUCCUCCCACUGGGUUUGGGCAAAUCCUUAUGGUUCUCUGUGAUAAGCCCUUUCUAUCUCCUUUCCCUGUCAGACCUUCCUGCUAUAUCACACCUCCCUACCAGGGAGCUCAAUAGCAAUCUGUGUAUUUCAUCUAGGUCAGUUGCUUAACAAUCCUAAGGAACCAAUAUGAAUUUAAAUGACUGCCUUCUAGAUACAACACAACAGUAAUAGCAGUGAUAAUAAUGACUUCUAAAUUAGUCAGCAUCAGCCGGGCUGCUGUAACAGACAAUCCCAAAUCUCAGAAACAAAGUUUAUUUUUUACCCCUGUGGAGUCCACUGUGGGCCUAGGUACCAUGAUCCAUGUGGUGACUCAGUGAUCCAGGCUUUUUAAAUUCUGUACUGCAAUUUGAGGAUGCUGUGUCAGGGGAUGAGAGAGAUUGGAAAAUCUCAUGGGGACAGCACACUUCCUUGGCCUGAAGUGAUGCUCAGCACUUCCACUCACAAAGCCAGUCAUAUGACCCCCUAGCUGGAAGAGGUCAGCCAAGGUAGUUUUCUGUGCAUCCAGGAAGAGUUAAUACAAAACAACAUUUAGUGAACAUGUGAUUUUCUCUCUGUUGCAAUUACCACUUCUUUUUAAAUAGGUAUCACAAGACAAUUACCCUGCAGCAAUUUAUUUAAAUCAUUUCAAAGAUCCUUACAGAUGAGGAAACUGAGGCCCGGAUAAAUGGAAUCACUUGCCUAAAGUCACACCUAUAAUGGCAGAUCCAGAAUUAGAAGGUGGGGUUCGGUUUCUCCAUAACCUGUGUCCCUCGCUGUUCAGAUGAUGGAUCCUCAGACUUUGGGGGAGCUGUGGGGUAACUCCCUCCACCCUUCAGCUACAGCCUGGAAACCAUUGCCUUUUCUGCAUACUGCAGCCACGCCUGGAUCUGUGCAAGGAAACACACCCGCUGACUCAGGAAUCCUGCCCUGGGGAUGUGACACUCGAAAAAGGAGUUCAAACUUAAUAACCUUCCAGAGUUGGUAUCAAAUUCAGACGCUGACACUCCUCGGAGAGGUUCUUUGAGGCAACAGGAUGGAAAGGAUCACUCUGCUUUUGUUUCUCUCCUGCUGCUCUGUCUGGAAGCCAUGUGAGGAGGACGUCUGAGUAGCUCUGUGGAGAGGCUCCCAACCAACAGCCAGCAUGAACUUGCUGGUCAUGUGAGCACACCGCCUUGGCAGUGGAGCCUCCAGCUCCAGUCAAGCCAUCAGCUGAGACUACAGCCCUGGCUUGUAUGUGACCACAGCCUCAUGAACAACCCAGAGCUAGGCCACCAAGAAUCCCAGAGAGAAGAACUGGAAAAACAUCUCUCUCAGGAUGACACAGGGCACACAGAACCAGUCUGAGAGGCUGCAGCCACAGUUCUAGGGAUCUGUGUGAGGUCCUGCCUGAGGCUUGUGUCCCGUGGAGAUCCCAGGUAGAGGAGCUUGAACACCUCAGCCAGGCAAUCCCUUCUGAGCCUUCAGCUGGCGCAGGAGUUGCCCCAGGACGCAGCAGGUAACUGGCCAUGAAAAACAGAGGCUCGUGUAUAUCAAAUAUGUACUAUAUGAUCUAUAUGAUGCAAAUGUUGUGAUCUGGCUCUCAUUACGUCUUCUCAAGGAAUGAUCUCCGCUUUACAGAUAGGGAACACUAAGGCUCAGCGAGGGCAAGAAUCUCUUCUUAGCUCACACAGCCAAAAAGUGGCUGAACUCAGAAUCCGAGCUCCAAAAGGUAGACAUGUAUUUUUUUAGUUUUCUAGCGCAAUGCUGUCCCAUACAAAUGUAAUGAAAGCCACAUCCGUAAUUUAAACUUUUCUAUUUUUGUUGUUAAUUCUUUUGUUAAUUAAAUUUUCUAUUUAAUGUUGACCAUUUGGGUGACGGGUACACUAAAAGCCCAGACAUCACCACUAUGCAAUAUACGUACAUAAGAAAUCGGCACUCGUACUCUCUCUCUAUAUAAAAUUAAAAAAAAAUUCUAGCAGCUUCAUUAAGAAAGCUUGACAAGUAAUAGGUGACAUGAAUUUUAAUGAUGUAUUUAAUGUAACCAAUACAUCGAAAUUAUCAUUUCAAUAUGUAAUCAACAGGAACGAUGAUGAAUGAGAUGUUUUACUUUUUUUUUCAUUCUAAGGAUAGUUUACACUUGACCUUACAGCACAGCCCCAUUCCGAUGAGCUACCUUUCGGGCGCUCAGUAGCUAUUGUAGCUUGCAGCUACAGUAUCGGACAGUGCAGCUCUAUAAAUGAGGACAUGUGCUCAGAAGGUACCUGCCAUAUCUCAUGCUCUGGAAAUACCAAGAUGAACCAUGCAGACCCUAACCCCAUGGAGUUGAGAGUCUAGUGGGAGAAGACAGACAUCAUCAAAUGCUGGCACAAAUAAAGGCAUGUUUGCCUCAGGGGUUACAUGUUAUGUCAGGGAGGCACAGCCUCUACGGGAGUCGGUAGCAGGGCCCGAGCUUGGUCCGGGGUUGGCCAGGAAGGACUUUCCUGCAGAAGUAACGUUUGCUCUCAGGACCAAAAGAUGACCAGGUGAAGAGUCACCUCACUCCUUGAAACCUCAGUUUCCUUCUUUGUGAUGUGGGAUGAUAAGGACACCUGCAUUCCAGGAUAUUUGUGAGGCUGAACCAAGAUGGCACAGGUGAAGAUGACUAACACGAAGUCUGGUACAUAGUGAAUGCCUGGCGUAUCGUGGCUUCAUUCAUAGUCCCUUGAUGUAUGGUGAAGUUCCUAUGGAUUGGAAAGCUCAUUGUUGUCUCAGAAACUGCUGCCCAAGGGACAAAGAAGAAUGCAAGCUCACCAUGUGAAAUGCACGCAGAAGAGGAAGGGUCUCACUCUGCUCUCUCUCUCUCUCUCUCUCUCUCUCCCCAUCCUGAGGACCCUUUUAAUUGC